ACAAGUCAUCUGCAUAAUUAGGGAAGUAGGUAGAAAGCUCCACCCCUUCAUCUUCCUCAAACGAAAUAACUGUAGAUUUGAUCUACUGUUAACUUGGUUUGGCAAAAUCCUCCUCCACUUCGAUGUUCAUCCUCAACUAUCAGCUCAAAGCUCUAUCUUUAAGCUAAGUGUCGAAUCCUUCGUGUUUAAUUGUUCUUCUUCUUUUCAUUAGAUCGAUGGAAUGAACUUCUAAGAAGCUAAAACCACCAUCAGAUCAAAAGAAUCGAUUUAGAAACAAUAAAACCUGACCUUAUGAUGCCAACAAGUUUCGAUGUCUUAAUAGUUAGAGCUACAUAUCAGAAUCGGUAGAUCUAUUGUUUGGAUACUCGUACCAUUAACACCCCAAGGUCUCACUGGGUGUAGGUGUUUGCAUCCAAAGAAAUCACUUCGAACAAUAGCAAACUUUGUAAACAUGGUCAAUGUUCUACAUCCCUAUUCAAACCAUCUGCAACAUUUUCCAGAUUUACUAACAGAAACACUAAGAUCACAAACUACCAGAUGUUGAUGCCCAUAAACAGGUGCUUCCAACAUCUAUAGACUUUGUUCACCCCAUGAGUCGGCAGGAGAUUAUUGCUUGUGAUGCUUACUGGUAGUGUUGCUUGCUUCUCAUUUCCAUGGCUAUGGAAUGAACUGGAUAUCCAUUCCUUGGUGGACAUUUGAUUCUCAAAUAUUUCCCCUUGCUUAUUAAUUCCUUGAGCUUUAGAUAUUGAAGUAAUAUUUGUAUUAUUAACAGAAAUGUGAUCAUCCCCUUCUUCUGUAAGUGCUUCAAAGGGGUUAUCAUUGGUAAUCACUUUAUCUGGUAAUAUAGCUUUUUCACUAAGAUAACCCUUGUUGAUGAACCUUCUGUUGGUUGGGUUCCAU